GGCCUGCUAGCUCAGUCGGUUAGAGCGUCGUGCUAAUAACGCGAAGGUCGUAGGUUCGAACCCUGCGGAGGCCA
rnacentral:tRNA from 1 species